AAACGAGGCUUUCCCGCGCCGCCUCCCGCGCGGCCACUGCCGCCGGGAGCUCGGUUCCCCAUCCGCCGUCGGCCGCCCGGAGCUCGGGCUCUCCCGCGCCGCCGCGGCUGCCCGGAGCUCGCGCACGGCCAGAUCCGGCCCCGCUACCGCGAGCUGGGGGAGCAGGGCCGGGGCCGGGGCACAGGAGCUUGCGGCUCGGGGGAGAGAGAAGACCGUCGUAAGCCGUCGCCCAAGACCCAGCUGCACCCAGUCGUCUCGCUCACCAGUGUGGCCGCGAGGGGAGGGCGCCGGCCAGCGCGUGCUCCGCGUCGACCCGAGGUCAUGCUUCCCAUGCCCGGGGACAUCCGCCGCGCUCUGCCUUGACAUGGCCACGCUCACCACGCCAAAACAUUCGCUUGCCCACCAUUAAGGUCGACGAGGCAUCCUGCCAGCAGGAGUUUGCUGCUGCCCUGCUUCCUGCUCCGUGCUUCCCGCCCGUUGAUCUGGCCACACUUGCCAUGUCCGAGAAUAUGUUGUUGAUUGCUUCACUCGGUAAUAACAUCCAAGGUUCAAAUCUUAUUUUGCUUUAGGUGAAUGGAUAGCAACAGGGAAUUGUACUAUUAGCUUUACUUUUAUCAGUGUUCCGGCAUACUGCUAUCACUGGAUCAGUAGCUUUAGAUGAAGAAAACAGCUCUCAUUAUCUCUGUGUUUUCAUGCCCACAACAUGGAUACCUCACCGCGCCUGGACAUGUGCAAUGGUAAUCCUUGGAACAGCCAUGUCAAAUGGCAGCCAUACACCCAUCGGAUUCAGCACAUAUAGUUAUGAGAAGGGCAGGAUGAUUAUUUUCCUUACAACGAUUUGGCAAACAAGCUAAUGUAUUUUUUCAUUCGAACAGUCUUAAUCUCUUACCUAAUCACUGUUCCAUUUGCUGCAAGGGUUUGAUUAAGGAUCAAAUCUUUUCAAAUUA